rnacentral:rRNA from 1 species
UACGUAGGGUGCGAGCGUUGUCCGGAAUUAUUGGGCGUAAAGGGCUCGUAGGCGGUUUGUCACGUCGGGAGUGAAAACCCAGGGCUUAACCCUGGGCUGGCUUCCGAUACGGGCAGACUAGAGGUAUGCAGGGGAGAACGGAAUUCCUGGUGUAGCGGUGAAAUGCGCAGAUAUCAGGAGGAACACCGGUGGCGAAGGCGGUUCUCUGGGCAUUACCUGACGCUGAGGAGCGAAAGUGUGGGGAGCGAACAGG